rnacentral:rRNA from 1 species
UUAAGCGUGUAGGCUGGUUUUCCAGGCAAAUCCGGAAAAUCAAGGCUGAGGCGUGAUGACGAGGCACUACGGUGCUGAAGCAACAAAUGCCCUGCUUCCAGGAAAAGCCUCUAAGCAUCAGGUAACAUCAAAUCGUACCCCAAACCGACACAGGUGGUCAGGUAGAGAAUACCAAGGCGCUUGAGAGAACUCGGGUGAAGGAACUAGGCAAAAUGGUGCCGUAACUUCGGGAGAAGGCACGCUGAUAUGUAGGUGAAGCGACUUGCUCGUGGAGCUGAAAUCAGUCGAAGAUACCAGCUGGCUGCAACUGUUUAUUAAAAACACAGCACUGUGCAAACACGAAAGUGGACGUAUACGGUGUGACGCCUGCCCGGUGC